GCGGGAUUAGUUAAACGGCUUAAUACCACCUUCCCAAGGUGGGGAAACGGGUUCGACUCCCGUAUCCCGCUCCG
rnacentral:tRNA from 1 species